rnacentral:lncRNA from 1 species
GGGGCCUGUUACAGCUGGAGAAAGAAGAAUUCUAGCAAACUGAAUGUGAAUGAGAAUUCAGCAGAGAUGACCACUCAGAAAGAUAAUAUCCAGACGACCCCUUCCUAGGACCAUAAGUCAGUGUGGGACCUUCUGUGAUCCAUGUUUUCUUUAACGGGAAGUUCCUAGCUCUUGAUGCAGUCGUAAAUGGAACCUCAUCUCACAUAACAUCCCAGAGCUUAUGAUGGCUUACCUGCCCUCAGGAGGAGACGGUUGCUGCUGUCUGACAGCUCAGGUGCUGUGAACAAGGUCCUGCCUACCUCUGUAUAAGCAGCACAGAGACAUCUGGCUUUCCUGACCUGCCUGACUUGCCCUCCAAGCCUCUUGUUCCUAAGAAAAAAUGGAUGAAGGGAGGUUUGGGGAUGGAGGUCAAUCUGCUGCCUGCAGGGCUCUGAGACUGACUCAGCCAUGUUGCCCAUGUCUCUCUGUGUGGUUUUCCUUUGUAUCCCUUCGCCUUUCUCUUCAAGGCUCACUUUGGGACUUUCUUGGUGGGUUAGAGCAGCAUCCAUGUCCUCGUGGACUUUCUGAGACCGUCUGUACCAGCCAAGAUAUAAGUCAGGCUGCUCUAACAGAGACUCAAUACAGUGACCACAGCACG